rnacentral:rRNA from 1 species
UAGGAUGAACGCUGGCGGCGUGCCUAAUACAUGCAAGUCGAACGGAGCACUCGGUGCUUAGUGGCGAACGGGUGAGUAAUAUAUGAACAACACCCCUUGACCGGGAUAACACACUGAAAAGCGUGCUAAUACCGGAUAGGCGAUCGAGAGGCAUCUCUUGAUUAUUAAAGGAGCGCAUGCUCCACAUUGGGAUGGGUUCAUAUCGCAUUAGCUAGUUGGUGAGGUAACGGCCCACCAAGGCGAUGAUGCGUAGCCGAUCUGAGAGGAUGACCGGCCACAUUGGGACUGAGACACGGCCCAGACUCCUACGGGAGGCAGCAGUAGGGAAUUUUCGGCAAUGGGCGCAAGCCUGACCGAGCAACGCCGCGUGAACGAUGAAGGUCUUAUUGGAUUGUAAAGUUCUGUUACGAGGGAAGAACAGCACUGAUAGGAAAUGAUCAGUGUGUGACGGUACCUCGCCAGAAAGCCACGGCUAACUACGUGCCAGCAGCGGC